rnacentral:rRNA from 1 species
AACGAACGCUGGCGGCAGGCUUAACACAUGCAAGUCGAGCGCCCCGCAAGGGGAGCGGCAGACGGGUGAGUAACGCGUGGGAAUCUACCCAAUACUACGGAAUAGCUCCGGGAAACUGGAAUUAAUACCGUAUGUGCCCUACGGGGGAAAGAUUUAUCGGUAUUGGAUGAGCCCGCGUUGGAUUAGCUAGUUGGUGGGGUAAUGGCCUACCAAGGCGACGAUCCAUAGCUGGGCUGAGAGGAUGAUCAGCCACACUGGGACUGAGACACGGCCCAGACUCCUACGGGAGGCAGCAGUGGGGAAUAUUGGACAAUGGGCGAAAGCCUGAUCCAGCCAUGCCGCGUGAGUGAUGAAGGCCUUAGGGUUGUAAAGCUCUUUCACCGAUGAAGAUAAUGACGGUAGUCGGAGAAGAAGCCCCGGCUAACUUCGUGCCAGCCGCCGCCGUAACAC